rnacentral:misc_RNA from 1 species
UCUCCGUUGGUGAACCAGCGGUGGGAUCAUUACUGAGUUUACAACUCCCAAACCCUUUGUGAACAUACCUUUUUGUUGCUUCGGCGGGCUCGCCCGUCGAAGGACCGAAACUCUUGAAUCAUUGCUGUCUGAGUAUGAUUUUUAAUCGUUAAAACUUUCAACAACGGAUCUCUUGGUUCCAGCAUCGAUGAAGAACGCAGC